rnacentral:rRNA from 1 species
UUUAAACUGGUUUGGGAAAACCAAAUAUAUUAUAUAUUUUGCUUUGUUCAAAAUAAGGUUUUCUAAUAAAUUAUGUUUUUAUCAGAUAUGACAGAAUCUUUUUUAAAAUCUCUUCAAUAUGCUUUUAUUGCUUUUGAGAGGUUUUGUUACUUUGAGUAAAAUUAAGUGUUCAUAACAGACGGGUAGUCAUGAUUGAGUUCAUUGUUU